rnacentral:rRNA from 1 species
AGUGAACGCUGGCGGCGUGCCUAAUACAUGCAAGUCGAACGGAGUGGCGCACGGGUGAGUAAUAUAUAGCUAAUCUGCCCCUUGCUGGAGGACAACAGUUAGAAAUGACUGCUAAUACUCCAUAGCAAGGGAUGAGACUAUAUCGUAUCAGCUAGUCGGUGGGGUAACGGCCUACCGAGGCUAUGACGCGUAACUGGUCUGAGAGGAUGAUCAGUAACAUUGGAACUGAGAAACGGCCCAAACCCCUACGGGAGGAAGCGGUAGGGAAGUUUGCGCAAGGGGGGAAACCCUGACGCAGCAACGCCGCGGGGAGGAGGACACUUUUCGGAGCGUAAACUCCUUUUGUUAGGGAAGCGGUACCUAACGAAUAAGCACCGGCUAAUGCCGUGCCAGCCGCCGCGGUAAUUC